AUUCCCCUAGUAACGGCGAGUGAAGCGGGAACAGCUCAAAUUUGAAAUCUGGCCCUUGGGUCCGAGUUGUAAUUUGCAGAGGAUGCUUUUGGUGCGGUGCCUUCCGAGUUCCCUGGAACGGGACGCCUUAGAGGGUGAGAGCCCCGUACGGUUGGACACCAAGCCUAUGUAAAGCUCCUUCGACGAGUCGAGUAGUUUGGGAAUGCUGCUCAAAAUGGGAGGUAUAUUUCUUCUAAAGCUAAAUAUUGGCCAGAGACCGAUAGCGCACAAGUAGAGUGAUCGAAAGAUGAAAAGCACUUUGAAAAGAGGGUUAAAUAGCACGUGAAAUUGUUGAAAGGGAAGGAUUUAUGACCAGACUUUUUCUAGGGGGAUCAUCCGGUGUUCUCACCGGUGCACUUCCCCUAGUUGAGGCCAGCAUCGGUUUCUGUCGGGGGAUAAAAGCUUUAGGAAUGUGGCUCCCUCCGGGGAGUGUUAUAGCCUGUUGCAUAAUACCCUGACGGGGACCGAGGUUCGCGCAUUGCAAGGAUGCUGGCGUAAUGGUUAUUAAUCACCCGUCU
rnacentral:rRNA from 2 species